rnacentral:rRNA from 1 species
CCUACGGGAGGCAGCAGUGGGGAAUAUUGGGCAAUGGGCGCAAGCCUGACCCAGCAACGCCGCGUGAAGGAAGAAGGCUUUCGGGUUGUAAACUUCUUUUCUGAGGGACGAAGAAAGUGACGGUACCUCAGGAAUAAGUCACGGCUAACUACGUGACAGCAGCCGCGGUAAUACGGAGGUUGCAAGCGUUAUCCGGAUUUAUUGGGUGUAAAGGGCGUGUAGGCGGGAAAGCAAGUCAGAUGUGAAAACUAAGGGCUCAACCCUGAGCCUGCAUUUGAAACUGUUUUUCUUGAGUGCUGGGGAGGCAAUCGGAAUUCCGGGUGUAGCGGUGAAAUGCGUAGAUAUACGGAGGAACACCAGUGGCGAAGGCGGAUUGCUGGACAGUAACUGACGCUGAGGCGCGAAAGCGUGGGGAGCAAACAGGAUUAGAUACCCCAGUAGUC